GACGAACGCUGGCGGCGUGCCUAAUACAUGCAAGUCGAACGAACGCUUCGGAGCUUGUGGCGCACGAUGGAGUAAGAGGUGGGGAGAUGCACUUAGGUACGGCAUAACUCAGCGAAAGGGAUACUUAUGCCGAAUUAGCUCUUAGGGCGAAAGAUUUAUCGCCCUUCGAGGGGCCCGCGUCAGAUUCGCUAGUUGGUAUGCUAAACGCACACCAAGGCGACGAUCAGUAGCUGGGCUGAGAGGCUGACCAGCCACACUGAGAGUGAGAGACGGCCCAGACUCUUACGGAAGGCAGCAAUGGGGAAUGUUGCACAACGGGCGAAAGCAUGACGGAGUCAGGCCGCGUGAAUGAUGAAGGUCGGAAGAAUGUAAAGUUCAUUUAACAGUGAAGAUAAUGACGGUACCUGAAGAGAAAGCCCCGGCUAACUACGUG
rnacentral:rRNA from 1 species